rnacentral:rRNA from 1 species
UAAUACGGAGGGUGCAAGCGUUAAUCGGAAUUACUGGGCGUAAAGCGUACGUAGGCGGUUUAUUAAGUCAGAUGUGGAAGCCCCGGGCUUAACCUGGGAACUGCAUUUGAAACUAGUAGACUAGAGUAUGGUAGAGGGGGGUAGAAUUUCUAGUGUAGCGGUGAAAUGCGUAGAUAUUAGAAGGAAUACCAGUGGCGAAGGCGGCCCCCUGGACCAAUACUGACGCUGAGGUACGAAAGCGUGGGGAGCGAACAGGAUUAGAUACCCUGGUAGUCCACGCCGUAAACGAUGUCAACUAGCCGUUGGGACCUUGAGGUCUCAGUGGUGCAGCUAACGCGUGAAGUUGACCGCCUGGGGAGUACGGCCGCAAGGCUA